rnacentral:rRNA from 1 species
UACGAAGGGGGCUAGCGUUGCUCGGAAUCACUGGGCGUAAAGGGUGCGUAGGCGGGUUUUUAAGUCAGGGGUGAAAUCCUGGAGUUCAACUCCAGAACUGCCUUUGAUACUGAAGAUCUUGAGUCCGGGAGAGGUGAGUGGAACUGCGAGUGUAGAGGUGAAAUUCGUAGAUAUUCGCAAGAACACCAGUGGCGAAGGCGGCUCACUGGCCCGGUACUGACGCUGAGGCACGAAAGCGUGGGGAGCAAACAGG